GAUGAACGCUAGCGGCAGGCUUAAUACAUGCAAGUCGAGGGGCAGCGCAGUGUAGCAAUACAUGGGCGGCGACCGGCAAACGGGUGCGGAACACGUACGCGACCUUCCUUUAAGUGGGGGAUAGCCCAGGGAAACUUGGAUUAAUACCCCGUAAUAUUAUGAAGUGGCAUCACUUUAUAUUUAUAGCUCCGGCGCUUAAAGAUGGGCGUGCGACUGGUUAGGUAGUUGGCGGGGUAACGGCCCACCAAGCCUGCGAUCAGUAACUGGUGUGAGAGCACGACCAGUCACACGGGCACUGAGACACGGGCCCGACUCCUACGGGAGGCAGCAGUAAGGAAUAUUGGUCAAUGGACGCAAGUCUGAACCAGCCAUGCCGCGUGGAGGAUGAAGGUCCUCUGGAUUGUAAACUUCUUUUAUUUGGGAAGAAACCCACUGUUUCUACGGUGGUUGACGGUACCAGAUGAAUAAGCACCGGCUAACUCCGUGCCAGCCGCCGCAGUAA
rnacentral:rRNA from 1 species